rnacentral:rRNA from 1 species
UACGAAGGGGGCUAGCGUUGCUCGGAAUCACUGGGCGUAAAGGGUGCGUAGGCGGGCCUUUAAGUCAGGGGUGAAAUCCCAGAGCUCAACUCUGGAACUGCCUUUGAUACUGGGUAUCUCGAGUAUGGAAGAGGUGAGUGGAAUUCCGAGUGUAGAGGUGAAAUUCGUAGAUAUUAGGAAGAACACCAGUGGCGAAGGCGGCUCACUGGUCCGGUACUGACGCUGAGGCGCGAAAGCGUGGGGAGCGAACAGG